rnacentral:rRNA from 1 species
GACGUAGGGGGCCAGCGUUGCUCGGAAUAACUGGGCGUAAAGGGUCCGUAGGCGGUGUGGCAAGUCGGGAGUGAAAUCUCUGGGCUUAACUCAGGGGCUGCUUCCAAAACUGCUGUGCUUGAGUGUGGGAGAGGCGCGUGGAAUUGCAGGUGUAGCGGUGAAAUGCGUAGAUAUCUGCAGGAACACCCGUGGCGAAGGCGGCUCGCUGGACCGCAACUGACGCUGAGGAACGAAAGCUAGGGGAGCAAACAGG